GUGUUGGCGAAAAUGUGGUGAAGUGCAGACGCGUCCCUUCCGCUCGUUGGCGCGUUGUCGUUUGCGUAUUGUUUGUUUUGCUUAGUCGUCAAGCUGAAUAACCAAAGAGAUACAGAAACAGACAACAGACAUUAAACAAAUAAAUAUUGAACAGUGAUAAAGCGUUCCGCAACUGCGCCAAGUGCUGCCAAACCAAAGAACUGCAGAAAUAGUUGCGCCAGAAACAACACACAGAUACACACACACACACCAGCACACACACAGUCAAAAUGCUGAAAACAAAAUCAAGCGACGACAAGCUGGACACGCUGCUCUCGCGAUCUGCGGUGCCCAUCAUCGAUCUGGCUCAUUGCGGCAUUGAGGAGGUGCCCGUCAAGUCGGUGGUGAAUCGUGUCGGACAUCAGCUCCAGAAGGCGUUAUCCGAGAAGGGCAUGGCGCUGCUGGUCAAUCAUGGCAUAUCUGACGAAAAGCUGAAAACCGCCUGGGACCAUUUGGAUGACUUUGUGGAUCUGGCGACGGAUGUCAAGCAGCAUUAUAUACGCAGCGAUGGCGACAAUCAUGGCUAUGUGAGUCCGGGCAUUGAGCGCUUCGAUGGCAAGACACCGGAGCUGCGACAUGCGUUCAACAUAUGCACACUGAACGCGCAAAAUCUGCCGGAGGAGCCGCUGCCGGGCUUUGCGGAUCACAUAAGCACGUUGGCCAACGACUUCAAGGCGCUGGCCAGCUUUAUAUUGCAGGCGCUGGCUGUCUCGCUGGACAUUCCGCACACGUUCUUUCUCGAAAAGCACUCACACAUGCUGUCCGGCGAUCACGACAACAUGACCACCCUGCGCAUGCUCUACUAUCCGCCCGUGGUGGACGAUGAGCCCGGCCAUGGUCAGAACGAUGUGGUCAAGGGCCGUUGCCAAUAUAGCUACCAGCGCUGCUUAUCGGAUCAGCCGGACUUUCGGCCCGAAAACAAUCCCCGCGAUGAGCUCAACGAGCUGGACGGCGUCCAGAGCAAUGGCAAGGAUGGUGAGCUCUCCGAGCACAAGCUGGCCAAUGGGGCCGUCAUACGCUGUGGCGCACAUGUCGACUACGGCACAUUUACGCUGCUGGCGCAGGAUUCGGAGGGUGGCCUGGAGGUGAAGCUGCCGGGCAGCGAAAAGUGGCAUCGUGUGGGCCAUUUGCCGGGUGCCAUAUUAGUCAACUGUGGCGAGAUCUUGUCCAUUUGGACAAGGGAGCGGUAUCCCGCACUGCAACAUCGUGUGGUUAUACCCGAACAGGAGCACAUACGGUCCCGUGGCCGACACUCAAUUGCAUUCUUCUGCCAUCCAGACAAUAUUACAAUGAUAUCUCCCAACGAUCUGCCUCAAACCGAUGCCGAACAGAAUUCCGCGUGUCUCAAGCAGCGCAAGAAGUCCUUCAAGGCGGCGAAAGAGCGCGUUUACAAUGCGUAUCAGUUAAUACAGAAAAAGUUUAAAGAUACGUAUACCAAUAACAAUCACUCUCAAUGACGUCCUCCCCCCCUUCACAACCCCUGUUCAUCCGGUCAUACGGCCAUGCAGCCAUCCGUCAUCCAGACUGAGGAGAGAGAGAGAGAGAGAGAGAGUUUCCGUCGUAUUUGAGAAAAGUCAACAACACGCAUGUUGUUUGUAACUUUUUAUUUUUAAUAUUAUUAUAAUAUACGAUUGUAAUUGCUUCAUUUCUUUAGUUUGUAUCAUAUGUAUUUGAUAUACAUACUGAAUAUUUAUAUACAAAUACAAUACAUACAAUUCAUACAACAUACAAAUAUAAUACCUAUAUGUACUUAUACAUAUAUGUUUUGCACAAUUCGAGUAUUAAUAUUAGUUAUACACUGACAGAACGCACACAUAUUAACAUUUAAGUUAGAUACAAGAUACAAGAUGCAACUAUUUCCUUUCGCAAUUCCAAAAUUGACCGAGACUAAAUCGGAUAUCAGAGACCAUAUGGACCAGAUAUCUUUAAUCUGGCUGCGUUCAACUUUUGGACAUUCACCGAGAGUAUUUGGCGCUGCUUGAUUGAUUGAUUGAUUGACACUGAGACACGAAUGCCGCAUACUCUCCCAUAUAUAUUAGUUGUAUAUACAAACUACAUACACUUACUUAUUAGUUAGAGACUAACAUAAUCGUAGAAAGACAAAUAAAACAAAUGGAAGAAAA